rnacentral:ncRNA from 2 species
CUCUUAUCAAGAGAGGUGGAGGGAAAUGGCCCGAUGAAGCCCGGCAACCGAUGUUAUUUAAUAACAUAAAGGUGCCAAUUCCUGCAGAGAUAUUCUGCAAGAUAAGAG